rnacentral:rRNA from 1 species
CAGGCUUAACACAUGCAAGUCGAGGGGCAGCAUGGUCUUAGCUUGCUAAGGCCGAUGGCGACCGGCGCACGGGUGAGUAACACGUAUCCAACCUGCCGUCUACUCUUGGACAGCCUUCUGAAAGGAAGAUUAAUACAAGAUGGCAUCAUGAGUCCGCAUGUUCACAUGAUUAAAGGUAUUCCGGUAGACGAUGGGGAUGCGUUCCAUUAGAUAGUAGGCGGGGUAACGGCCCACCUAGUCUUCGAUGGAUAGGGGUUCUGAGAGGAAGGUCCCCCACAUUGGAACUGAGACACGGUCCAAACUCCUACGGGAGGCAGCAGUGAGGAAUAUUGGUCAAUGGGCGAGAGCCUGAACCAGCCAAGUAGCGUGAAGGAUGACUGCCCUAUGGGUUGUAAACUUCUUUUAUAAAGGAAUAAAGUCGGGUAUGCAUACCCGUUUGCAUGUACUUUAUGAAUAAGGAUCGGCUAACUCCGUGCCAGCAGCCGCGGUAAUACGGAGGAUCCGAGCGUUAUCCGGAUUUAUUGGGUUUAAAGGGAGCGUAGAUGGAUGUUUAAGUCAGUUGUGAAAGUUUGCGGCUCAACCGUAAAAUUGCAGUUGAUACUGGAUAUCUUGAGUGCAGUUGAGGCAGGCGGAAUUCGUGGUGUAGCGGUGAAAUGCUUAGAUAUCACGAAGAACUCCGAUUGCGAAGGCAGCCUGCUAAGCUGCAACUGACAUUGAGGCUCGAAAGUGUGGGUAUCAAACAGGAUUAGAUACCCUGGUAGUCCACACGGUAAACGAUGAAUACUCGCUGUUUGCGAUAUACAGCAAGCGGCCAAGCGAAAGCGUUAAGUAUUCCACCUGGGGAGUACGCCGGCAACGGUGAAACUCAAAGGAAUUGACGGGGGCCCGCACAAGCGGAGGAACAUGUGGUUUAAUUCGAUGAUACGCGAGGAACCUUACCCGGGCUUAAAUUGCAGAUGAAUUACGGUGAAAGCCGUAAGCCGCAAGGCAUCUGUGAAGGUGCUGCAUGGUUGUCGUCAGCUCGUGCCGUGAGGUGUCGGCUUAAGUGCCAUAACGAGCGCAACCCUUGUUGUCAGUUACUAACAGGUUCCGCUGAGGACUCUGACAAGACUGCCAUCGUAAGAUGUGAGGAAGGUGGGGAUGACGUCAAAUCAGCACGGCCCUUACGUCCGGGGCUACACACGUGUUACAAUGGGGGGGUACAGAGGGCCGCUACCACGCGAGUGGAUGCCAAUCCCAAAAACCUCUCUCAGUUCGGACUGGAGUCUGCAACCCGACUCCACGAAGCUGGAUUCGCUAGUAAUCGCGCAUCAGCCACGGCGCGGUGAAUACGUUCCCGGGCCUUGUACACACCGCCCGUCAAGCCAUGGGAGCCGGGGGUACCUGAAGUGCGUAACCGCGAGGAGCGCCCUAGGGUAAAACUGGUGACUGGGGCUAAGUCAUAACAAG